UUUUUAAAUUAUUGUAUACAUAAAUUCAUGAUGUUGGGGCAUUUCUCAAAGAAACAUUGAAAUCAAAAGUCUUUUAGCGCCAAUAUUUUGACAC